AUCGUGAGGUGUGGGAGAGAAGAAGCAAUAGCGAAAUCGUAGCCUGACGGACAGAAACCUGAUACUAAGGCGUAUUAAGCGGAUAAGUUGGCAAAUAUCAAUGAAGUCCAAAAGGUAACCGUAACCUUAAUGCGUAAAUCAGGCAGGUAGACGAGGAAAGAGU
rnacentral:ncRNA from 1 species